rnacentral:antisense_RNA from 1 species
GAUAACCAAAGAUAGUCAAAGGAUUCAAUGUUGGGUCGGUGACGACUCGUACAUCUUGAAUGUUGACAUCGUAUAGUCCUUCACCAAACAUAGCUCUAGCGACUAAAGCCAAUGCAGCUAUACCCAAAAAUAACAGAUGAUGACCGAGAAUAAUUCCUAACUGUUUGGGAUCGUUCCA